rnacentral:misc_RNA from 1 species
CAGUAGCAGCCUUAGUUGCCGUGUCAACCAAUCCCAAGUCGUCAGCUGUAUAGUCAGAAUCCCAAGGUCCCAAAACUUACAAAAAAUUUCUCGUCGAAGUUAGCUCUCACGUUUCUUGCCUGUAACCAAUGGAGGACAGGGUCAGUGUUGCUAGCUUCCGUACCAAGAUGAAUUUUCUUCAGGGAUCAAAUACCGAAAGGAAUUUUCAUCAAAGGAUCCAUAAUCUCUCGGUAAUGCUUACGUAGGCAAGAUCUGAUAUCACCAUUGUCAUCAUACCCAAAGAAAUGGAACAUAUCUAGAGAAGAAACUCUGAAAAUUGAACAUUUCCUCUACGGAGCAACCAAGUUGUGUCCAGGUUAUUAAAAGUAUUGCUGUUUGCAUAAUUUCAGAUUUUAAAAAAAAAGAAUAUUUUCCCUUUGGAUGUUGAAGGAAAAUGUUUUUGGGUCAGGUAUAUAUUUGUUUCUAUUUAUAUCCGGGAUUUCUGUAGUCAGUGCGUACCAGGGUUACAGACUGUGAUAAUACUCAAGUUCACUGUAUCAAAAUGUGUAUCACUAGUGUACUUAAUUACUGUAGAUGUAGGUCAAGGUCAAGUGCAUCCUUCAAGGUGAUUUAGUACCUAUUAUAGACUUGGUGGGUAUUUAUGUAUAUAUACAUGUACAUAUAUAUAGAAACUGAUAUCAAAGAGCUAUUUGUUCAAACUCAUAUUGCCUGCAAAUUAGUAAUUUGGGAAAAAAGCUACAUGUAGAUGAAGACAAACAUACAAGACUGAUUUAAAGAUUUUACAUGCAGUAGUUCCAUGAUUUUACAUGAAGUAUGCUGAGGUGCUAUAUCUUAUAUUUUGAUAUAAUAAGUCACAUGUCAUUUCUGUCAUUGCUUCUUCUUUUUUAAUGCUCAUUUCAUGCAUUCGUGAAUGGUUCUGUAUUACCGAUAAGCAGGACCAGUUUACUAAAAAAGCACCAAGGUCUGCCUUAUCUCAAACAAGAAUAUUGAUGAUGGUUAGAAUACUAAGAUAUACAAGGAUAUGUACACUAGCUUUGCUUUUGCAGAUGUAUAUGUCUUCAAUUUCCAUUUGUAUUCUUCCAAGUGUUGUAAAUGCCUCAACACUAGUGCUAUCUAUGUUUUUUUAACGUAUACUUUUUUUUUUUGGUAAAUUGCAACUGGAGGACACACAAAAAAACCCUCAUUGUAUAAAAUUUGAAAAAUGCAACUACCAAAUCAAAUAACUUUAAUCUUUCACCUGUUAUUGUAUUUACUCACAUGUCGCUUCGGCUUCACAAAUUCAUGAAGGAGAGGUUGAACUGAGCAUUAAUGUUUUAGAUCAGUUGUGAAAUUUUGACCAUGGUUUUUAUCCUGUGCCAUAUCUUGACUUGAAGGCGGUAGCUGACCAGUCCAAAAUAUCCUCCUUGUAACACUUACAGUGGUUACUCUGUAGUCCCAACACCUAUACACUGUCCUGGUUAUACACAUUUGAAAUUGAUCUGUUAAGGGAGAUAACUCAUUUUUUCCAAAUUCAAAGAGUGAUAAUGUAAUGAAAAUUGUCAACCUGCAUGUUUUUGAUGCAUUUCAAAAACUGUUCACAUUUAUUUUUGAAAAAAAUCACUGAUUACAUUAAGCAUUAAGCAGAUAUCAAUAUAAUUUUAAAGAGAUGAUGAAAAAAAAAUUGUACCAUAUAUAGAAAAAAUAAAAAAUAUCUACUCUAAGUAUUCUGUGUGCUCACAGAAUAGGUCUCAAUUUUUUUUUUUAAAAACACCUUUUACAAGUUGUAUUAUUGAAGCAACUAUUUCUUUAGGACAUAAAUCUUUGUAUUUAAGAAAAAGUAUUAGGAUUCAAGGGUUUUGUUGACUAUAUAUAGAAUUUUUUAUCAUCAGCAUUCAGUAUCAUUUUAUACAUGUACAGAAAAAAAUGACUGCCAAGUUAAAACAGUUGUUUUAAUUUUAUCAGUUGAUGUGCAAUAACUUUGUGUUUGUAUGUGAUAUGAUGAUCAUGAUAGUUAUAUAAAGCAAUUGUUUUCUCUUCUCAUGCUUGAUACUGCAAGUAAGUAUGCAUGUAAGUGUACUAUAUAUAUACCGGAAAUACUAAUACAUGUACAGUAAUAAUACUGGAAAUUUGUCUCCAUCUCUAUAUAAUUUUAAUUUCUUUAUUGCAAAAGACAUACGUCUUAUAGCGUCUCAACGUCUUAUAUUAAAAUCCAUCUCUGAAGUGGAGUUUUCUCCUCACAAACCCCCUCCCCUUCCCUUAUUCAUAUUUGUCAUGUUAUGAGCUAGUCUUUGUGAUGUAAAAUUUCUGUCCAUUUGUACUAAAAACUAUGCAGUGUUUCUCUUUUUUUUUCACAAUGUAAGAAUUGUGUGGGUAUAAAGAUUGUAAAUAUCCAUGAUGAGAUUAUGAAUGUGUAACACCAUUAAAACUAGAAACCAUUGUAAUUCUAAUUUGAUAGAAAAAUUCUUGUUAUGUACUCCCAAUAUUUAUGCUGGCUUUUAUUACACAAAUUGUUUGAUUUUUUUUUCUUUGUUAUAUUGGCUUUUAUAUAUUAAGCAGAAUAUUGGUCACUAUUUGGGAUAACACAUUACAUGUAUACGAUAAAUAAUAAGAUGCCAGAACUUUGCAAAUACUUGUUUUAAUUGUUGCUUUUGUAUCUUUCUGGGAUUUCAAAUAGUCUUUGUUUUUGUGUUCACUGUUUCCAAAUUUAUCAACAAGUCGAAGAUGAUAUUUUUUUUCAUUCAUUUCUUACUUUUUUGUUGUUCUUUCUUUUUUGUAAUCAAGACUGAAAUCAAACAACUAUUUAUUAAUUUAUUAUUAAAAAAGAAAACCAAACAAAUUAUGUAAUAAAUGUGCUUUGCUAUAUUUAAGUUACUCUUUUAUAGUUUAGUUGUCAGAUUUGAAAUUGCCUCUGGAUGCAUUGUAACAGAGACAAAGAAUAUGGAAUCUAAACCAGUUUUACAUGUAUUGCAAAGAUUUCAUUGUGUUUUGCGACCAUUAAUUUGCUUUUUACUGUUCAAAACCAUGUAAUUUAAACAUUGCAUAGAGUUUAGGUCAAGAAAAGAACAGUUUUAAAAAUAAAAAAAAUACACUAAUU